CAGAGCCCCAAGAGAUUCCCAAAGAAACUGCUGCUCUGAGGUUAUUCAUCUGAUGGGAAGACGCUGGUGAGAAAAGACAACAUUUCUGGUACUUCAGAGGUGACGAGGGUGAACUCAGCCCAAUAGGAGAGCUGACUCCAUGGU
rnacentral:lncRNA from 1 species